rnacentral:rRNA from 1 species
UACGAAGGGGACUAGCGUUGUUCGGAAUUACUGGGCGUAAAGCGCACGUAGGCGGAUUUGUUAGUCAGGGGUGAAAUCCCGGGGCUCAACCUCGGAACUGCCUUUGAUACUGCAAGUCUCGAGUCCGAUAGAAGUGGGUGGAAUUCCUAGUGUAGAGGUGAAAUUCGUAGAUAUUAGGAAGAACACCGGUGGCGAAGGCGGCCCACUGGAUCGGUACUGACGCUGAGGUGCGAAAGCGUGGGGAGCAAACAGG